rnacentral:rRNA from 1 species
AAUAUUGCACAAUGGGCGCAAGCCUGAUGCAGCGACGCCGCGUGGGGGAUGAAGGCCUUCGGGUUGUAAACUCCUUUCAACCAUGACGAAGCAUUAUGUGACGGUAGUGGUAGAAGAAGUACCGGCUAACUACGUGCCAGCAGACGCGGUAGUACGUAGGGUGCGAGCGUUGUCCGGAAUUACUGGGCGUAAAGAGCUCGUAGGUGGUUUGUCGCGUCGUCUGUGAAAUUCCGGGGCUUAACUCCGGGCGUGCAGGCGAUACGGGCAUAACUUGAGUGCUGUAGGGGAGACUGGAAUUCCUGGUGUAGCGGUGAAAUGCGCAGAUAUCAGGAGGAACACCAAUGGCGAAGGCAGGUCUCUGGGCAGUAACUGACGCUGAGGAGCGAAAGCAUGGGUAGCGAACAGG